AGGGUUUGAUCCUGGCUCAGAAUCAACGCUGGCGGCGUGCCUAACACAUGCAAGUCGAACGCGAAAGCCCCGCAAGGGGCAAGUAGAGUGGCAAACGGGUGAGUAACACGUGGGUGACCUGCCUUCGAGCGGGGGAUAACGUCCCGAAAGGGACGCUAAUACCGCAUAACAUCCUGCCUUUGAAGAGGUGGAGAUCAAAGCUGGGGAUCGCAAGACCCGGCACUUGAAGAGGGGCCCGCGUCUGAUUAGCUAGUUGGUGGGGUAACGGCCUACCAAGGCAACGAUCAGUAUCCGGCCUGAGAGGGCGGACGGACACACUGGGACUGAGACACGGCCCAGACUCCUACGGGAGGCAGCAGUGGGGAAUUGUUCGCAAUGGGCGCAAGCCUGACGACGCAACGCCGCGUGGAGGAUGAAGAUUUUCGGAUCGUAAACUCCUGUCGAAUGGGACGAACAGAUUGCGGGUUAACAGCCCGUAGUCCUGACGGUACCGUUAAAGGAAACCCCGGCUAACUCCGUGCCAGCAGCCGCGGUAAUACGGGGGGGGUAAGCGUUGUUCGGAAUUACUGGGCGUAAAGGGCUCGUAGGCGGCCAACUAAGUCAUACGUGAAAUCCCUCAGCUUAACUGGGGAACUGCGUGUGAUACUGGAUGGCUUGGAUUUGGGAGAGGGAUGCGGAAUUCCAGGUGUAGCGGUGAAAUGCGUAGAUAUCUGGAGGAACACCGGUGGCGAAGGCGGCAUCCUGGACCAAUAUUGACGCUGAGGAGCGAAAGCUAGGGGAGCAAACGGGAUUAGAUACCCCGGUAGUCCUAGCCCUAAACGAUGAAUGCUUGGUGUAGCGGGUAUCGAUCCCUGCUGU
rnacentral:rRNA from 1 species